UACGUAGGGGGCUAGCGUUGUCCGGAAUCAUUGGGCGUAAAGAGCGUGUAGGCGGCCCGGUAAGUCCGCUGUGAAAGUCGGGGGCUCAACCCUCGAAUGCCGGUGGAUACUGUCGGGCUAGAGUGCGGAAGAGGCGAGUGGAAUUCCUGGUGUAGCGGUGAAAUGCGCAGAUAUCAGGAGGAACACCGAUUGCGAAGGCAGGUCUCUGGGCUAUAACUGACGCUCAUGCACGAAAGCGUGGGGAGCAAACAGG
rnacentral:rRNA from 1 species